UAGUGGUACAGCUCAAGCCACAUUACCUUGUCUUGUUCUUGCCUUGAACUUUAAGUAAUUUGAAUUUGUUACCUUGCAGGAUCACCUGAACCUGACCUUGCCUUUUUGUGUGGAACUCUGCCUGGAUUAACCACUUCUGGAAAGAAGCUAUCCAGCUCCAUGAUCAAAGACUCUAGCCUUUCGUUACUUCGUUGGACAACACCGGUUGGCAGCCUCCUGAAUUCUUCACUUCUUGGAUCACCCUUCAAGAACCCUGUCCACCCUCCUCCUUCCACUGCACCAACUUCUGAAAGCCCUGGACCAUCUUAUCAUCCUGGCACACCAUUAUUCCACCAUCAUCUGUCUCACAGUUGGUUUCCCGGUUCCAGUUCCCCUGCCCAUUUCACUACACUGUAACACUUUACUGUAAAACUGUCUCCUGAAUUGCUUUCUGCAUGUGGGUCAAAUCCUUUAAAACAAUGACAGUUUGUAUCUUUCAUCUAAUGACAUCAUGUUUUUGGUCAUAACUCAAAGAUGGCUUUUGCUGAUUUGUUGCUCUUGCUGCUCUUGAAGCCAAGAUUUUAGCUCUAAUUAAAGGAUCAAGUACCAAUGAA